CCCCCUUUUCCCCAGAUUAAGUGUUUACUGUUUAUUCCUCUCAUGUUCUCUUUUCUCUCUCCCAAAUCCCUAGCUUGAUCAGUGGCCUGAUGAAUAUGCCUACGGAAUAUCAGAUGACGAAAGAUACUAUUACGUGUUGAUCUACUCGAUGAUAGAAUACAGGGAAGUCUUCAUCAAUGGAGGACAGAGAUCUGCGACCAGAGGAAAUGGAAGGUACCACAUAUCAGCAAUUUGAUCCAAUCCCGAUACCCCUGCUGUUAACCCCAA
ensembl:lncRNA